CUGCCUUACACAGGGGGAUAACACCUGGAAACAGGUGCUAAUACCGCAUAAGCGCACAGGGCCGCAUGGCCCGGUGUGAAAAACUCCGGUGGUGUAAGAUGGACCCGCGUCUGAUUAGCUUGUUGGCGGGGUAGGGGCCCACCAAGGCGACGAUCAGUAGCCGGCCUGAGAGGGUGGACGGCCACAUUGGGACUGAGACACGGCCCAAACUCCUACGGGAGGCAGCAGUGGGGGAUAUUGGACAAUGGGGGAAACCCUGAUCCAGCGACGCCGCGUGAGUGAAGAAGUAUUUCGGUAUGUAAAGCUCUGUCAGCAGGGAAGAAAGAAAUGACGGUACCUGACCAAGAAGCCCCGGCUAACUACGUGCCAGCAGCCGCGGUAAUACGCAGGGGGCAAGCGUUAUCCGGAAUUACUGGGUGUAAAGGGAGCGUAGACGGUGAUGCAAGUCUGGAGUGAAAGGCGGGGGCCCAACCCCCGGACUGCUCUGGAAACUGUGUAACUUGAGUGCAGGAGAGGUAAGCGGAAUUCCUAGUGUAGCGGUGAAAUGCGUAGAUAUUAGGAGGAACACCAGUGGCGAAGGCGGCUUACUGGACUGUAACUGACGUUGAGGCUCGAAAGCGUGGGGAGCAAACAGGAUUAGAUACCCUGGUAGUCCACGCCGUAAACGAUGA
rnacentral:rRNA from 1 species